rnacentral:rRNA from 1 species
AACGCGAAGAACCUUACCUGGCCUUGACAUGUAUGUAGUAGAAGGAUGAAAGUCUGACGAGGUAGCAAUACCAGCAUACACAGGUGCUGCAUGGCUGUCGUCAGCUCGUGUCGUGAGAUGUUGGGUUAAGUCCCGCAACGAGCGCAACCCUCGCCCUUAGUUGCCAUCAUUUAGUUGGGCACUCUAAGGGGACUGCCGGUGAUAAGCCGCGAGGAAGGUGGGGAUGACGUCAAGUCCUCAUGGCCCUUACGGGCUGGGCUACACACGUGCUACAAUGGCGGUGACAAUGGGACGCAAUGGGGCAACCCUGCGCAAAUCUCAAAAAGCCGUCUCAGUUCGGAUUGUGCUCUGCAACUCGAGCACAUGAAGUUGGAAUCGCUAGUAAUCGCAGAUCAGCACGCUGCGGUGAAUACGUUCCCGGGCCUUGUACACACCGGCUAC